GAGGUCUCGGAUUAGGGCUUUUAUCUUCUGUCUCGGAUUAGGGUAGCUACUUUUUGUUUCCUUAGCUACAUAUAUAAAAAUUUAAUAACAAGCAAUAAUCUCAGUUGCAUAUACAAGAAUAAUAUUAUAGCAAGCAUUAAAAAUACAGAUAACCCAGGAGAAAUUACAGAGCCGGAUUUUGCCAUUUUUACCGAGCAUCACACCAUUAUUACACAGGUUUCCGUGGGUUAUGAAAGCACCGUUAAUCCCUUCCAUACCAAGACCUAUUGCACUUUUUCAGGAAAAAAAAUGUAAGUAUGGCAAGAGUAGAGGAAUUCAGAUUGAAGACCAUGCAAAAAACUUACGAGAAGAUAUCCUGGGCAGCGUUGCCGAAGCAAUCUCUUUCAUAUCCCGUAAUCCUAAUAGGUUUCCCAUACCUCCAAAAGUCUUCCCCCAAGUUAGAUAAAUUCACUACGAACACAUGUUCAAUGAAUGCUAGUCCAUAUUCUUUUCCCCCUACCACGCAACGUAGCGCCAUAUACCCUCUAACGACAUGGGGAACACCCCUUGCUUCCAAAAGCUUCAAGUCUCUAAUAAAUUGACGUGCAUUGUCAAAGGUAUCGUAUACCUGAACAGACACAUCAAUUGUCUCUCCUUCAUAGUCGAGUGUGCCUGUGAAUGUGUUGUCAUUGACCUUAUCUUUGAGAGUGUAUGUACAUCCAACUUGUCUCUCAAGGCCUUCAAAAACAUCCAUGAAGACCUAAUAUGAAAUUUAAUGUUGUAAGUACAAAUUUAGUUCCAAUAAUGGUAGCUCAUUUCUCCAAAGGAAAAAAAAAAUUAGAUCAGUUUUGACACUUUUUCACCAAGGAAUCACAUUAUAAAAUUAGUUUCAUUAAAAGAAUGAAAAAAAAAAGAUAAUGCCUAUCUAAGCAUAAACGUGCUUAUAAAAAAAAAGAUAAUGCCUAUCUAAGCAUAAACAUGCUUAUUACUUUAUUUAGAAAGAAUGCGAGACAUACCCAAGAGCUGCUUUCUCUUAUUCCCUGUUUUCUCUCUAUUCUACUGUUGCAACUUCCAUUGCUGCUACUGUUCUUGUGCUGUAUUACUGUUUUUCUGAAUCUGCAACGUUUGGUAUUCUAACAUCCCCUUCCCAAAAGCCCAAGUUGACAUCUGGAGUGGGGAGUAACAUAACAUGGUUGGUUGGGGAUGACUCUAAUACCAUGUUAGAGAGGACAGUGGUGCUAAUCCAAGACUCAGCAGUUUGCUCAAGGUGUAUGAAUUGUCCAAGACUAUAUAUAAGGUGAGAGACGGGGCAAUGAAAAUGAUAGUCUGUGUAGAUCUGGUUUGAUUCCUGCCCUUACCUGUUACUUCGAAGAAAUCGGGCAAUUAUUGGUGGACUGUUUGGACUGAAAUAAGUAAAUGUUGUUUUGACAAUUCUGUGGAGCUCAACAAAUGAUGUUUGGUUAACUACAAACCUAUUCCCAUGAAUUCGGCUAAGAGCCGUGAAGAAGCACUGUUUGCAUUUGAAUGCUUCUGUGAGAAGCUUGGGAAGUUUUUUGAACCGUAUGUAACUCAAAAGUUACCAUUCCUCUUGGUUUCAUUCUGAUCAAGUGGUUGCGGUGCAUGCUGCUGCUCGGGUAAUGAUGUCUCAGCUUAGUGCUCAAGGAGUGAAACUAAUUCUUCCAUCACUUUUGAAGGUUCUUAAUUUAGCUUUCCCCCUUUACCCCUUAGCUCAGUGCAGUUGACUCUAUCCGAUAUUGGUUGAGUGAUGUGGUUAGCUGGAUGAUGGAUUAAUCUUGCACAAUGUUGUUUAUUCACACUCAGAGAGUACUCUUACGAAGACAUGCUCGAAAUUCUUUUCCAGUAUACAUUUAUUCCGACAGGCUCAUGUCGUUUAAGGGGAAAUUAUAGGUCUUGAGAAUGCUUUUCUGAUGAUGAGACAUUGUUGCACAGGGGACCACAUUGGUCAAUCUUUAGGACUGUUUGGCUGCGUAGAAAUGGAGAAACUGUAAACUUAAUGCAUGCCCACUUGCUCUUUGACUUUUGAAGAACAAGUGUAACAUUUCAUGAAUGCGUAUAUUGUGGGUUAGAUUAACUUUUGGCAUCUGUGAAUUUCAUCUGAAUUGGAUCCUCAGUUCCUUUGUUGAAAAACCUUAAUGGGUCUAAGAUAACCAGAAAAACUUUGAUAUUCUGCUGUAGUUGAUGAGUCCGCUAUUAAAUAUCUUCCCAUGUGUUUCAGAUUCGCUAAACUCAUUUAUUAGUUAUCCUUCAUUACAUGAUACCUAUAUUUACAUUACUUUUCUGAAUCAAGGCCUUGAUGAUAAAGCUCGGAGGUGCUAUGGCCUACUGUGCUCCACAGCAAUUGCCACAAUGUCUCCCUAUGAUUGUGCCCAAGUUAACUGGGGAUUGUCCUUUUGCAUCCAAACUUAGUACUUACUGUCUCUGACUACAGUGCCGUACUAGUCUCAGUUUCAUACCGCUUUGGUAAUACUGUACAGGUGCUUACUGAUACCCAUCCCAAGGUUCAAUCAGCUGGACAGACAGCCCUUCAGCAGGUUGGGAGUGUUAUAAAGAACUCUGUGUUAUCUGCACUUGUCCCUACUCUUCUAAUGGGUAUUACAGAUCCCAAUGACUCAAAUGAGUAUACAAAAUACACCCUUGAUAUUCUUCUCCAGACAACCUUUGUGAAUUCAAUUGAUGCUCCUUCUCUCCCACUGCUAGUACCAACUGAGGGCUUCGUGAAAGGAGCGGCCGAGACUAGGAAGAAAGCUGCACAAAUGUGUUCAUUAGUGCAGAACCUGAGGACAUGAUACCCUACACAGGACUACUGCUCCCUGAAGUUAAAAACAUGCUGAUGGAUCCAAUUCCUGAAGUUCGAUCUGUUGCUGCAAGAGCCAUUGGUUCUCUUAUACGGGGGAUGUGAGAAGAAAACUUCAGACCUCAGUUACCAAUUCAAAAAAAAUAAAAAAUAAACUCCCAGACCUGGUGCCUUGGUUGUUGGAUACUUUGAAGUCUGAUGGCAACAACGUUGAGCGUUCUGGGGCACAAGGACUAGGUGAGUAUCUGCCAAGAUCUUUUGGCGUCCAAUUCUUGAACUGUUUGCAGCAAGUUCUGCCAGCGAUCUUAGAUGGUUUGGCCGAUGAGAAUGAAUUUGUGCGUGAAGCAGCACUCAGCGCUGGCCAUGUUCUGGUGGAGCACUCUGUAAUUACAUCUUUGCCUCUGCUUCUUCCGGCUGUGGAAUAAGGUUGUUGGAACAUCUGGAAAAGCACAUCUUGUGGUAGUGAUGAUGAGGGUGCAGUACUGAGGCUCAUGGACAAGAUAUUAUUGAGGUCCUCAGGAGGACAAGCGCAAUGAAAUCCUUGCUGCAUUGUAUAUGGUCUGAACCGACGUCAGCAUAACUCUACGCCAGGCUGCUUUGCAUGUUUGGAAGACCAUUGUAGCAAAUACUCUGAAAACGUUGAAGGAGAUAAUGCCUGUACUGAUGAGCAAAUUGAUAAGUUUUCUAGCAUCUUCAUCCUCCUCUGAAAGGAAACAGGUCACUGGAUGAGCAUUGGGGGAGCUUGUUAGGAAGCUUGGAGAUAGAGUCCUUCCUUUGAAUUUCCCAAUAUAAUCACGGGUCUAAAAGAUCCUAAUCCAAGUAGAAGACAAUGGAGCUGCUGUUAUAUUUGCCAGAUCGCCCUAUUGUGGAUUAAUCGGUGUCGUUCAUAUGGUUGAUGGCUGUUGGAACAAUUAUUUGUGCAGCUCUUUGGAAAAAGUUUAUUCAAUCUUAGGGAAAUGACGACCAUGAACUAUCACCCAACCCCAGUACACACACACACAAAAAAAAAAAAAAAAAAAAGAUGCUCUCCGACAUAUUCUUUUGAGUUAGCAAUCACAUCUAUGCCUUGGUGUGUGGCUAUUUUGAUAGACUUGUCAUCACUGAAUCUAAAAAUUGAUCUAGUUAUUUUAGAUUACCCUGGCUGUUGGAUUGUGGGUUACAAUUUUUUUUUUCCAACAGAGAGAUUGGUAGUUUACAAAUUUAGUAAGAUUGGUAGUUUACUAA